AGCGAACGCUGGCGGCAGGCCUAACACAUGCAAGUCGAACGAACCUUUCGGGGUUAGUGGCGGACGGGUGAGUAACACGUGGGAACGUGCCUUUAGGUUCGGAAUAACUCAGGGAAACUUGUGCUAAUACCGAAUGUGCCCUUCGGGGGAAAGAUUAAUCGCCUUUAGAGCGGCCCGCGUCUGAUUAGCUAGUUGGUUGAGGAAAUGGCUCACCAAGGCGACGAUCAGUAGCUGGUCUGAGAGGAUGAUCAGCCACAUUGGGACUGAGACACGGCCCAAACUCCUACGGGAGGCAGCAGUGGGGAAUCUUGCGCAAUGGGCGAAAGCCUGACGCAGCCAUGCCGCGUGAAUGAUGAAGGUCUUAGGAUUGUAAAAUUCUUUCACCGGGGACGAUAAUGACGGUACCCGGAGAAGAAGCCCCGGCUAACUUCGUA
rnacentral:rRNA from 1 species